GGGAUAACCUUGCGAAAGUAAGACUAAUACCCAAUGAUAUCUCUAGAAGGCAUCUGAAAGAGAUUAAAGAUUUAUCGGUGAUGGAUGGGGAUGCGUCUGAUUAGCUUGUUGGCGGGGUAACGGCCCACCAAGGCAACGAUCAGUAGGGGUUCUGAGAGGAAGGUCCCCCACAUUGGAACUGAGACACGGUCCAAACUCCUACGGGAGGCAGCAGUGAGGAAUAUUGGUCAAUGGACGAGAGUCUGAACCAGCCAAGUAGCGUGCAGGAUGACGGCCCUAUGGGUUGUAAACUGCUUUUAUAAGGGAAUAAAGUGAGUCUCGUGAGACUUUUUGCAUGUACCUUAUGAAUAAGGACCGGCUAAUUCCGUGCCAGCAGCCGCGGUAAUACGGAAGGUCCGGGCGUUAUCCGGAUUUAUUGGGUUUAAAGGGAGCGUAGGCCGGAGAUUAAGCGUGUUGUGAAAUGUAGAUGCUCAACAUCUGAACUGCAGCGCGAACUGGUUUCCUUGAGUACGCACAAAGUGGGCGGAAUUCGUGGUGUAGCGGUGAAAUGCUUAGAUAUCACGAAGAACUCCGAUUGCGAAGGCAGCUCACUGGAGCGCAACUGACGCUGAAGCUCGAAAGUGCGGGUAUCGAACAGGAUUAGAUACCCUGGUAGUCCGCACGGUAAACGAUAGAUGCCCGCUGUUGGUCUGAAUAGGUCAGCGGCCAAG
rnacentral:rRNA from 1 species